rnacentral:rRNA from 1 species
GUAGGGAAUAUUGGGCAAUGGAGGCAACUCUGACCCAGCCAUGCCGCGUGCAGGAUGACGGCCCUCUGGGUUGUAAACUGCUUUUAUACGGGAAGAAAAAAUACUACGUGUAGUAUACUGACGGUACCGUAAGAAUAAGGAUCGGCUAACUCCGUGCCAGCAGCCGCGGUAAUACGGAGGAUCCAAGCGUUGUCCGGAUUUAUUGGGUUUAAAGGGUGCGUAGGCGGAUCUUUAAGUCAGUGGUGAAAGCCUGCAGCUUAACUGUAGAAUUGCCAUUGAAACUGAAGAUCUUGAAUGUGGUUAAAGUAGGCGGAAUGUAUCAUGUAGCGGUGAAAUGCUUAGAUAUGAUACAGAACACCGAUAGCGAAGGCAGCUUGCUGAACCAUUAUUGACGCUGAGGCACGAAAGCGUGGGGAGUGAACAGGAUUAGAUACCCGAGUAGUCC